rnacentral:lncRNA from 1 species
CAAAAAAGGCGAGGUUUGUACUUUUGGCGUGGUCAUUCCAGAGGCGCAUUGUGUUUCGAGGCGACUUCAUGUUCGCCUUUUAGGGUGAUAACUAUUUGACGAUAAAUCUUCCAACACUUAUUCUCGGGAUACACGCUUUUUGACGCGUAUUUAAUCCGACGGCGCACUUGGUACUUCUUACUUCGACUUCUGGACUUCAACCAAAACGAAAAGAUUUCCCUCUUUAUAAGUAGUAUCUCCGUUUCUUCUUUCCCUUUACUUAUUUCUUCUCGCGAAUCAGCAUUCUCUUUCGCAUAUCCCUCUUCGAUCCAGCAAGCCUUUGUUCAACGAUUAGGACGCUUCCAGUUUAUUUCUCCAAGCUUUGUCAAUUCCUUUGAGGUAUUCUUUCUUUCAUACCUUACUCCUUUUU